rnacentral:rRNA from 1 species
GUGUCAGCAGCCGCGGUAAGACGAACCGAGCGAACGUUGUUCGGAAUCACUGGGCUUAAAGGGCGCGUAGGCGGGCUGUCAAGUCUGGGGUGAAAUCCCGCGGCUCAACCGUGGAACUGCCUUAGAUACUGACGGCCUCGAGGGAGGUAGGGGCGAGCGGAACUGUGAGUGGAGCGGUGAAAUGCGUUGAUAUUCACAGGAACUCCGGUGGCGAAGGCGGCUCGCUGGACCUCUUCUGACGCUGAGGCGCGAAAGCUAGGGGAGCAAACGGGAUUAGAUACCCCGGUAGUCCUAGCCCUAAACGUUGGGUACUGGGUAGUAGACUAGACAUGGGUUUACUGCCGCAGCAAAAGUGCUAAGUACCCCGCCUGGGGAGUAUGGUCGCAAGGCUGAA